GAUGAACGCUAGCGGCAGGCUUAAUACAUGCAAGUCGAGGGGCAGCGCGGGUAGCAAUAUCUGGCGGCGACCGGCAAACGGGUGCGCAACACGUACAGAACCUUCCUUUAAGCGGGGAUAGCCCAUAGAAAUGUGGAUUAAUACCCCAUAGUAUAAUUGUCUGGCAUCAGAUGGUUAUUAAAGAUUUAUCACUUAGAGAUGGCUGUGCGUCUGAUUAGGUAGUUGGUGUGGGUAAAGGCCCACCAAGCCUUCGAUCAGUAACUGGUGGUGAGAGCACGACCAGUCACACGGGCACUGAGACACGGGCCCGACUCCUACGGGAGCAGCAGUAAGGAAUAUU
rnacentral:rRNA from 1 species